ACGGCUCAGUAACACGUGGACAACUUACCCAAGAGUCCGGGAUAACCCCGGGAAACUGGGGAUAAUACCGGAUAGAUCAUCUGUGCUGGAAGGCUGGGUGGUUGAAACUUCCGGGGCUUUUGGAUGGGUCUGCGGCUGAUUAGGUUGUUGCCGGUGUAACGUACCGUCAAGCCUGUAAUCAGUACGGGUUGUGGGAGCAAGAGCCCGGAGAUGGAUUCUGAGACACGAAUCCAGGCCCUACGGGGCGCAGCAGGCGCGAAAACUCUACAAUGCAGGCAACUGCGAUAGGGGAACAUCGAGUGAUCCUCAUAUUGGGGGUCUGUCCACCCGUCUAAAAAACGGGUGUUAGCAAGGGCCGGGCAAGACCGGUGCCAGCCGCCGCGGUAAUACCGGCGGCUCGAGUGGUGGCCGAUAUUAUUGAGUCUAAAGGGUCCGUAGCCGGCUUUGCAAGUCUCUCGGGAAAUCCAGCGGCUUAACCGUUGGUCGUCCGGGGGGUACUACAUUGCUUGGGACUGGGAGAGGUAGGAGGUACUCAGGGGGUAGGAGUGAAAUCCUGUAAUCCUUUGGGGACCACCGGUGGCGAAGGCGUCCUACCAGAACAGGUCCGACGGUGAGGGACGAAAGCUAGGGGCACGAACCGGAUUAGAUACCCGGGUAGUCCUAGCCGUAAACGAUGCUCGCUAGGUGUCACAACAGUCGUGAAUUGUUGUGGUGCCGUAGGGAAGCCGUGAAGCGAGCCACUUGGGAAGUACGACCGCAAGGUUGAAACUUAAAGGAAUUGGCGGGGGAGCAC
rnacentral:rRNA from 1 species